AUACGUAGGGCGCAAGCGUUGUCCGGAAUUAUUGGGCGUAAAGAGCUCGUAGGCGGUUUGUCGCGUCUGCUGUGAAAACCCGAGGCUCAACCUCGGGCCUGCAGUGGGUACGGGCAGACUAGAGUGCGGUAGGGGAGACUGGAAUUCCCGGUGUAGCGGUGGAAUGCGCAGAUAUCAGGAGGAACACCGAUGGCGAAGGCAGGUCUCUGGGCCGCAACUGACGCUGAGGAGCGAAGGCAUGGGGAGCGAACAGGAUUAGAUACCCUGGUAGUCCAUGCCGUAAACGUUGGGCACUAGGUGUGGGGCUCAUUCCACGAGUUCCGUGCCGCAGCAAACGCAUUAAGUGCCCCGCCUGGGGAGUACGGCCGCAAGGCUAAA
rnacentral:rRNA from 1 species